GACAGAGGGUGCAAACGUUGUUCGGAAUUACUGGGCGUAAAGCGCGUGUAGGCUGCUGCGAAAGUCAGGUGUGAAAGCCCCGGGCUCAACCUGGGAAGUGCACUUGAAACCUCGCAGCUCGAAUGCCGGAGAGGUAGCGGAAUUCUCGGUGUAGAGGUGAAAUUCGUAGAUAUCGAGAGGAACACCGGUGGCGAAGGCGGCUACCUGGACGGCUAUUGACGCUGG
rnacentral:rRNA from 1 species